UUGCCGACCACACCCUCCGCCUACGUUGUUUUGCCACAGCCCCUUGUUCCUCUCCCUCCAACCCCUUCCUCGGCGACCCUUGACGCACCUCCGUCCAAUGACCUAUCAACUUCAAUCUCCGCCCUUUUCACUGCGGUCACUUCCCUGGUUAAUUCCGCAAUCCCCGCGUCGCCUCCCAUCGAUGUACCUCCUCCUCCUCCUCCUCCCGAGCCUUUGACUCCUCCCUUGUCUCACGUUAAUUUCCUCGAGUCUUCCGAUCCAAUCUCUGCCCUUGCCCAUGUCCUGAAUACCCACCUCUCACGGCCAGCCCCGCCGUUCCCCAUGGUGGCUCCUUCCACGGCUUUAGUUCCCCGUGCCCCUUCCGCCAACACCAGCUACCCAAUCAUGGUGGUUGGGUCCGAGGUGUCUGCGACCUCGGACCAGCCCUAUGCGAUGGGUGCCUCCCCCCAAGCCUCGGGUUUCCACCCAAUUACCUCUCCUAUCA